UCAAUACCAUUCAAUUUAUUCCGUUCCAUCUAUUACUAUGGAGGCAGACGGUAGCCUAGCGGUUAAGAGCGUUGGGCCAGUAACCAAAAGGUCACUGGUUCAAAUCUCAGUGCCGGCAAGGUGGGAAAAAAUCUGCUGUUCUGCACUUGAGCAAGGCAGUUAACAACUGCUCCCCGGUCGCCAAUGAUGAGGACGUUGAUCAAGGCAGCCACCCGCAGCCACCCAACCAGUUAAAAGCGGAAGACACAUUUCACUUGAAUGCAUUCAGUUGUGCAACUGAUUAGGUAUCCCCUUUCCCUUCGAGCCUGUGCUCCCCAAUUAAGGUAGAGAGAUAAAGCCUUUCACUGUCUAUAACACUGUCUGUCCCCAUCUCUCAAUGCAGGACUGUGGAAUCUAGUCUUCCUCUUCUCCAACCUCUCCUUGGUCUUCCUCCUGCCCUUUGCCUACUUCUUCACUGAGUCUGAGGGCUUCGCUGGAUCCAAAAAUGGUGUGAUGGCCCGUCUGUAUGAGACAGCAGUAGUCCUCUUCCUCCUGACCCUGCUUGUACUGGGGAUGGUGUGAGUGGCAUCAGCCAUACUUGAUGAUAAUAUGGCCAGUCUUUACGUAUGCCUCUAGGAUUAUCACACAUGUUCAGCAUCACAGGAAGCCUACUGGUCAAACCAAAGCUGCUGGAGGACCUUGACGAGACAUUGAGUUGUGCUGAGUUUGAAGAGGCCUUUUUAUCCAGGAAACUUACUAGUUAGUCCCAUUACAUAACCAGGGUUGGGUAGGUUACUUUUGUUGGGUUCUGAGAAUAUGAAAUGUUACUUAUUCAUGUCACUGAUGGAGUGCUAAGGUUGAGGCUCUACAACAGAAGUUAAGGUUUAUAGGAGGAAUGUAUAUAUUGUGUGCAACUAAGCUUGGAAUGUGUUGAGUGCAGGGAUGCGAUUACAUGUGGCAGACAUUGAUAAGGGGAGACGGGUGGAGAUCUUAGAAACUAACAAUGUCACUGAGGGAGAGAGGGUAAUGUAUAACGUUUACAUUAUGUCAGUGUAUGUAAUCGUUAGCCAUCAUGGAUCCUCUGGGAGGAGAAGAGACACAGUCUGGUAUCAAUAACCAUGAUAGCCUUGAGUUGGGGUGGAGUGAGCACUUUGGGGUA